rnacentral:rRNA from 1 species
GGUGCUGCACGGCUGUCGUCAGCUCGUGUCGUGAGAUGUGGGUUAAGUCCCGCAACGAGCGCAACCUCGUGUUUAGUUGCUAACAGUUCGGCUGAGAACUCUAAACAGACUGCCUACGCAAGUAGGAGGAAGGUGAGGACGACGUCAAGUCAUCAUGGCCCUUACGGCCAGGGCUACACACGUGCUACAAUGGGGUAUACAAAGAGCAGCGAUACGGUGACGUGGAGCAAAUCUAGAAAAUGCCUCUCAGUUCGGAUUGUAGUCUGCAACUCGACUACAUGAAGUUGGAAUCGCUAGUAAUCGUAGAUCAGCAAUGCUACGGUGAAUACGUUCCCGGGUCUU